rnacentral:rRNA from 1 species
GGGGAAUCUUGCGCAAUGGACGAAAGUCUGACGCAGCCAUGCCGCGUGAAUGAUGAAGGUCUUAGGAUUGUAAAGUUCUUUAGCCUGUGACGAUGAUGACGGUAACAGGAGAAUAAGCCCCGGCUAACUUCGUGCCAGCAGCCGCGGUAAUACGAAGGGGGCUAGCGUUGUUCGGAAUUACUGGGCGUAAAGCGCGCGUAGGCGGUUUUACAAGCCAGAGGUGAAAUGCCUGAGCUAAACUUAGGAAUUGCCUUUGGAACUGUAUGGCUUUGAGGACGAGAGAGGUGAGUGGAAUUCCCAGUGUAGAGGUGAAAUUCGUAGAUAUUGGGAAGGACACCGGUGGCGAAGGCGGCUCACUGGCUCGUUUCUGACGCUGUAGCGCGAAAGCGUGGGGAUCAAAC